AUAUGCCAUUUGUAUUAGACACUAAUACAAAGAAGUGGGUGCUCAUUAGAAAAUAAAUUUACUGAAUUAAUCUGACUUAAGAAACAUCUUAUGAAAUUUACUUACCCAUCAAAAGAUGUUUUCUUAUAGUAGGAGUUAUGCAUAUAAUCCUUUGACCUGAGACUACCACAGAACCUUGUAUACAUGAAUCCAUAUUUUUUAGUUCAUACUCAUUCAUUACUUAGUCAUGUA
rnacentral:lncRNA from 1 species